rnacentral:rRNA from 1 species
CCUAAAACGUUGCUUCGGCGGGAACAGACGGCCCUGUAACAACGGGCCGCCCCCGCCAGAGGACCCCUAACUCUGUUUUUAUAAUGUUUUUCUGAGUAAACAAGCAAAUAAAUUAAAACUUUCAACAACGGAUCUCUUGGCUCUGGCAUCGAUGAAGAACGCAGCGAAAUGCGAUAAGUAAUGUGAAUUGCAGAAUUCAGUGAAUCAUCGAAUCUUUGAACGCACAUUGCGCCCGCCAGUAUUCUGGCGGGCAUGCCUGUUCGAGCGUCAUUACAACCCUCAGGCCCCCGGGCCUGGCGUUGGGGAUCGGCGGAAGCCCCCUGUGGGCACACGCCGUCCCUCAAAUACAGUGGCGGUCCCGCCGCAGCUUCCAUUGCGUAGUAGCUAACACCUCGCAACUGGAGAGCGGCGCGGCCAUGCCGUAAAACACCCAACUUCUGAAUGUUGACCUCGAAUCAGGUAGGAAUACCCGCUGAACUUAAGCAUAUCAAA